rnacentral:rRNA from 1 species
GACGAACGCUGGCGGCGUGCUUAACACAUGCAAGUCGAACGAAGUGGCGCACGGGUGUGUAAUACGUCGGUAAACUGCCCUCCUUUUUGGGAUUAGCCUUGGAAACGGGGUCUAAUAACCAAUAAAGGGGGAUGGGCGCGCGGCCUAUCGGCUUGUUGGUGGGGUGGUGGCCUAACAAGGCGGUGCCGGGUAGCCGGGCUGAGAGGGUGACCGGCAACGUAGGGACGGUGCAACGGCCCAGACUCCGACGGGAGGGAGCAGAGGGGGAUAUUGCACAAUGGGCGAAGGCCUGAUGCAGCGACGCCGAGUGGGGGAUGAAGGCUGUCAGGUUGUAAACCUCUUUCGCUAUCGAAGGGGUAGGUGGAGAAGAAGCGCCGGCUAACUACGUGCCAGCAGCCGCGGUAAUAC